CCUGAGUACGACGGAGCACGUGAAAUUCCGUCGGAAUCUGGGAGGACCAUCUCCUAAGGCUAAAUACUCUCUAGUGACCGAUAGUGAACCAGUACCGUGAGGGAAAGGUGAAAAGUACCCCGGAAGGGGAGUGAAAGAGAACUUGAAACCGUGUGCUUACAAGUAGUCAGAGCCCGUUAAUGGGUGAUGGCGUGCCUUUUGUAGAAUGAACCGGCGAGUUACGAUCUGAUGCAAGGUUAAGCAGAAAAUGUGGAGCCGUAGCGAAAGCGAGUCUGAAUAGGGCGAAUGAGUAUUUGGUCGUAGACCCGAAACCAGGUGAUCUACCCUUGGUCAGGUUGAAGUUCAGGUAACACUGAAUGGAGGACCGAACCGACUUACGUUGAAAAGUGAGCGGAUGAACUGAGGGUAGCGGAGAAAUUCCAAUCGAACUUGGAGAUAGCUGGUUCUCUCCGAAAUAGCUUUAGGGCUAGCCUCAAGUGAUGAUUAUUGGAGGUAGAGCACUGUUUGGACGAGGGGCCCCUCUCGGGUUACCGAAUUCAGACAAACUCCGAAUGCCAAAUAAUUUAACUUGGGAGUCAGAAUGUGGGUGAUAAGGUCCAUAUUCGAAAGGGAAACAGCCCAGACCACCAGCUAAGGUCCCAAAAUAUAUGUUAAGUGGAAAAGGAUGUGGCGUUGCCCAGACAACUAGGAUGUUGGCUUAGAAGCAGCCAUCAUUUAAAGAGUGCGUAAUAGCUCACUAGUCGAGUGACACUGCGCCGAAAAUGUACCGGGGCUAAACAUAUUACCGAAGCUGUGGAUUGUCCUUUGGACAAUGGUAGGAGAGCGUUCUAAGGGCGUUGAAGCAUGAUCGCAAGGACAUGUGGAGCGCUUAGAAGUGAGAAUGCCGGUGUGAGUAGCGAAAGACGGGUGAGAAUCCCGUCCACCGAUUGAC
rnacentral:rRNA from 1 species